rnacentral:rRNA from 1 species
CCUACGGGAGGCAGCAGUGAGGAAUAUUGGUCAAUGGGCGGGAGCCUGAACCAGCCAAGUCGCGUGAGGGAAGACGGUCCUAUGGAUUGUAAACCUCUUUAGGCGGGGAGCAAUGCCGGGCACGUGUGCCCGGAGGGAGAGUACCCGCAGAAUAAGCAUCGGCUAACUCCGUGCCAGCAGCCGCGGUAAUACGGAGGAUGCGAGCGUUAUCCGGCUGUAUUGGGUUUAAAGGGUGCGUAGGCGGAUUUUUAUGUCAGCGGUAAAAUGUCCGGGCUCAACCCGGGCCGGCCGUUGAAACUGGGGAUCUUGAGUGGGCGAGAGGUAUGCGGAAUGCGUGGUGUAGCGGUGAAAUGCAUAGAUAUCACGCAGAACUCCGAUUGCGAAGGCAGCAUACCGGCGCCCGACUGACGCUGAGGCACGAAAGCGUGGGGAUCGAACAGGAUUAGAUACCCCAGUAGUC